rnacentral:rRNA from 1 species
UACGUAGGUGGCAAGCGUUGUCCGGAAUUAUUGGGCGUAAAGCGCGCGCAGGCGGUCCUUUAAGUCUGAUGUGAAAGCCCACGACUCAACCGUGGAGGGUCAUUGGAAACUGGGGGACUUGAGUGCAGAAGAGGAAAGCGGAAUUCCACGUGUAGCGGUGAAAUGCGUAGAGAUGUGGAAGAACACCAGUGGCGAAGGCGGCUUUCUGGUCUGUAACUGACGCUGAGGCGCGAAAGCGUGGGGAGCAAACAGG